UCAGAACGAACGCUGGCGGCAUGCCUAACACAUGCAAGUCGAACGAAGCCUUCGGGCUUAGUGGCGCACGGGUGCGUAACGCGUGGGAACCUGCCUUUAGGUUCGGAAUAACUCAGAGAAAUUUGAGCUAAUACCGGAUAAUGUCUUCGGACCAAAGAUUUAUCGCCUUUAGAUGGGCCCGCGUUAGAUUAGAUAGUUGGUGGGGUAAUGGCCUACCAAGUCGACGAUCUAUAGCUGGUCUGAGAGGAUGAUCAGCCACACUGGGACUGAGACACGGCCCAGACUCCUACGGGAGGCAGCAGUGGGGAAUAUUGGACAAUGGGCGAAAGCCUGAUCCAGCAAUGCCGCGUGAGUGAUGAAGGCCUUAGGGUUGUAAAGCUCUUUUACCAGGGAUGAUAAUGACAGUACCUGGAGAAUAAGCUCCGGCUAACUCCGUGCCAGCAGCCGCGGUAAUACGGAGGGAGCUAGCGUUGUUCGGAAUUACUGGGCGUAAAGCGCGCGUAGGCGGCUUUUUAAGUCAGGGGUGAAAUCCCGGGGCUCAACCCCGGAACUGCCCUUGAAACUGGAUGGCUAGAAUACUGGAGAGGUGAGUGGAAUUCCGAGUGUAGAGGUGAAAUUCGUAGAUAUUCGGAAGAACACCAGUGGCGGAAGGCGGACUCACUGGACAGUUAUGACGCU
rnacentral:rRNA from 1 species